rnacentral:rRNA from 1 species
CAAUAGCGUAUAUUAAAGUUGUUGCAGUUAAAAAGCUCGUAGUUGGAUUUGUGGCGUACGGUGUGUUCCGGGCACUUGUUGUCUGAGUAACCUGCUGUUGCCAUCCUUGGGUGGAACCUGUGUGGCAUUAGGUUGUCGUGCAGGGGAUGCCCAUCAUUUACUGUGAAAAAAUUAGAGUGUUCAAAGCAGGCUUAUGCCGUUGAAUAUAUUAGCAUGGUAUAAUGAGAUAGGACUUUUUUGCUAUUUUGUUGGUUUGCGCAAAGAGGUAAUGAUUAAUAGGGACAGUUGGGGGUAUUCGUAUUCCAUUGUCAGAGGUGAAAUUCUUGGAUUUUUGGAAGACGAACUACUGCGAAAGCAUUUACCAAGGAUGUUUUCAUUAA